rnacentral:rRNA from 1 species
GAUGAACGCUGGCGGCGUGCCUAAUACAUGCAAGUCGAGCGAACGGACGAGAAGCUUGUUUCUCUGAUGUUAGCGGCGGACGGGCGAGUAACACGUGGAUAACCUACCUAUAAGACUGGGAUAACUUCGGGAAACCGGAGCUAAUACCGGAUAAUAUUUUGAACCGCAUGGUUCAAAAGUGAAAGACGGUCUUGCUGUCACUUAUAGAUGGAUCCGCGCUGCAUUGGCUAGUUGGUAAGGUAACGGCUUACCAAGGCAACGAUGCAUAGCCGACCUGAGAGGGUGAUCGGCCACACUGGAACGGAGACACGGUCCAGACUCCUACGGGAGGCAGCAGUAGGGAAUCUUCCGCAAUGGGCGAAAGCCUGACGGAGCAACGCCGCGUGAGUGAUGAAGGUCUUCGGAUCGUAAAACUCUGUUAUUAGGGAAGAACAUAUGUGUAAGUAACUGUGCACAUCUUGACGGUACCUAAUCAGAAAGCCACGGCUAACUACGUG